rnacentral:rRNA from 1 species
CCUACGGGAGGCAGCAGUAGGGAAUCUUCCACAAUGGGCGAAAGCCUGAUGGAGCACCGCCGCGUGGGUGAAGAAGGUCUUCGGAUCGUAAAACCCUGUUGUUAGAGAAGAAAGUGCGUGAGAGUAACUGUUCACGUUUCGACGGUAUCUAACCAGAAAGCCACGGCUAACUACUUGCCAGCAGCCGCGGUAAUACGUAGGUGGCAAGCGUUAUCCUGAUUUAUUGGGCGUAAAGGGAACGCAGGCGGUCUUUUAAGUCUGAUGUGAAAGCCUUCGGCUUAACCGGAGUAGUGCAUUGGAAACUGGGAGACGUGAGUGCAGAAGAGGAGAGUGGAACUCCAUGUGUAGCGGGGAAAUGCGUAGAUAUAUGGAAGAACACCAGUGGCGAAAGCGGCUCUCUGGUCUGUAACUGACGCUGAGGUUCGAAAGCGUGGGUAGCAAACAGGAUUAGAUACCCGAGUAGUC